ACCCUAUACAUCACUACUGCAUCAAUCUUCUUCUCUCAUCAAUUCAAGAUUCAAGAUUCAAUUCCUCAAUUUCCAAGCAGGGAAGAAGAAGAUAAGCCCUGAAGUUCUGAAAGUCUGAAGAGAUGACAGACAGGAUUUUUCCAUCAAAGUCCACCUCAAACCCUCAAACACUGAACGUCAAUGCCAACCCAUGAUACCCCACCAAGGCUCAGCUAUACAACCGCCCCAUUUAUCGUCCCCAGAUCAAGCCCCGUCGCAAUUGCCGCAACUGCUGCUGCAUCUGCGGUCUCUGGACUACCCUUCUCAUCAUCGCUCUAAUCUUGCUUGCAGCCAUCGCCGGCGCUGUCAUAUGGGCCUCUACCACCCCACCUUCUCUAUGACGGCAGUCCGGAUCUGGCAAUUCAACGUCACCACCUCCAAGGACGGUUCUUCCUCCCAACUCAACUCCAACCUCGGCCUCACU